rnacentral:rRNA from 1 species
UACGGAGGGUGCGAGCGUUGUCCGGAAUCACUGGGCGUAAAGGGCGCGUAGGUGGCCCGAUAAGUUGCUGGUGAAAUCCCGGGGCUCAACUCCGGGGCUGCCGGUAAGACUGUCGGGCUCGAGCACGGUAGAGGCAGAUGGAAUUCCCGGUGUAGCGGUGGAAUGCGUAGAUAUGCGGAGGAACACCGAUGGCGAAGGCAAUCCCCUGGGCCUGUACUGACGCUCAUGCACGAAAGCGUGGGGAGCAAACAGG